rnacentral:rRNA from 1 species
AUUGAACGCUGGCGGCAUGCCUUACACAUGCAAGUCGAACGGCAGCGGGGGGGAAGCUUGCUUUUCCUGCCGGCGAGUGGUGAACGGGGGAGUAAUACAUCGGAACGUGCCCUGUAGUGGGGGAUAACUAGUCGAAAGAUUAGCUAAUACCGCAUACGACCUGAGGGUGAAAGUGGGGGACCGCAAGGCCUCAUGCUAUAGGAGCGGCCGAUGUCUGAUUAGCUAGUUGGUGGGGUAAAGGCCUACCAAGGCGACGAUCAGUAGCUGGUCUGAAAGGACGGACAGCCACACUGGGACUGAGACACGGCCCAGACUCCUACGGGAGGCAGCAGUGGGGAAUUUUGGACAAUGGGCGAAAGCCUGAUCCAGCAAUGCCGCGUGUGUGGAGAAGGCCUUCGGGUUGUAAAGCACUUUUGUCCGGAAAGAAAUGGCUCUGGUUAAUACCUGGGGUCGAUGACGGUACCGGAAGAAUAAGGACCGGCUAACUACGUGCCAGCAGCCGCAGUAA